UGCAAGCAGUAAAAUCAAGAAUUAGACUAGUUUUAAGCUGUUUUUAUUGGCAGCAAUUCGUUCUUCCCUUAUUUGUGUUGAUAAUGGUUUUAUCUUAU